AGCAUGUGGUUUAAUUCGAAGCAACGCGAAGAACCUUACCAGGUCUUGACAUCCCGAUGCUAUUUCUAGAGAUAGAAAGUUACUUGGUACAUCGGUGACAGGUGGUGCAUGGUUGUCGUCAGCUCGUGUCGUGAGAUGUUGGGUUAAGUCCCGCAACGAGCGCAACCCCUAUUGUUAGUUGCCAUCAUUCAGUUGGGCACUCUAGCGAGACUGCCGGUAAUAAACCGGAGGAAGUGGGAUGACGUCAAAUCAUCAUGCCCCUUAUGACCUGGGCUACACACGUGCUACAAUGGUUGGUACAACGAGUUGCGAGUCGGUGACGGCGAGCUAAUCUCUUAAAGCCAAUCUCAGUUCGGAUUGUAGGCUGCAACUCGCCUACAUGAAGUCGGAAUCGCUAGUAAUCGCGGAUCAGCACGCCGCGGUGAAUACGUUCCCGGGCCUU
rnacentral:rRNA from 1 species